UCAUAAAAUUCGUCAACAGCAUCGGGAAAUUCCACCUCCGUUACGCCUUCCUCUCCGCCAAAGCCGAAGAGAUCAUCGAUUACCCAUCUCUGAAGAAGCCGAAGCGUUACAGGAAUUUGCAAAGAUGAGGCUUAUUCAUCGGUUACCCUUCCUCGUCGAAGCCGAAGUGUUACAGAAAUUUGCACAGAUUACUAUUUCUUCAGAAUUUCCGCAUUCAUCUCCAAAGAUUUCUGCAUUUGGGCAUUCAGUAAGUUUCAAGCGACAAGGGUUUAAAUAUUCCAACAGCAGCUGGAACGACAUUAGAAAGUGGUUGAAAUAAACAAGGGGAGCAAGGUUAAGUAUGAGUUGGAUAAAGCAAGUGGUCUUAUCAAGAUGAUGAUGAAGAUUAGCAUUUAUCCUGAGUUCUUUUGUUGCAUUUCCUGCCCAGCUUCAUUGCUUCAUCCGUGUAAAGUUGCUUUCCUCUGCAGGGGUGUUGAAAUUCCACCAGGGUUGUCAUCAUUUGUGUGUAGGCGAGUGUAUGACAUUGCAAACAAGUGUUUAUGGUGGUUAACAUACAAGUAUUAUAUCAACGAGCAACAUGAAGAAGUAGAUCAUUUAUUGGACAAGACCCGACUAGAAAUGCAUGCAGCAGUGCAAUCAGGAGAUUGUUCUCCAAAACCAUUGAAUGGUCCAACAUCAACUCAGAAGUUAAAAUUAGAUACUCAGAGUCGGCAGAAUAGUAGCAUUUCCUUCCCUGCACAGGUUAAGGAAAAGAAGAGGAAGAGAGGGGUGAUGAGGGAACAAAACCUAUUAAGCGAGAAGGUCCUACUAAGCUGGAGGAUGGUGAAUCUGACAGUUCUAGACUCAACAAAAUGGCAAAAUCUGAGAUUGUAAAAAUAGCAGAAAAAGGGUCGCUAAUAACAACAGAAGGUGUUGACAAACUGGUGCAUUUGAUGCAACUAGAUAAGAAUGAGAAAAAUUUAUUUGUCUGAUAGGAUAUUGUUUGCAUAUGUUGGAUGAUUGUGAAAAAAUAUGCUUCCAGAAGUUGCAUUGGAUAAUUUUUUCCC